rnacentral:rRNA from 1 species
CAGUAGCCGCGGGAACACAGAGGGUGCGAGCGUUAAUCGGAUUUACUGGGCGUAAAGCGUGCGUAGGCGGCUUUUUAAGUCGGAUGUGAAAUCCCUGAGCUUAACUUAGGAAUUGCAUUCGAUACUGGGAAGCUAGAGUAUGGGAGAGGAUGGUAGAAUUCCAGGUGUAGCGGUGAAAUGCGUAGAGAUCUGGAGGAAUACCGAUGGCGAAGGCAGCCAUCUGGCCUAAUACUGACGCUGAGGUACGAAAGCAUGGGGAGCAAACAGGAUUAGAUACCCGAGUAGUCCCUGUCUCUUAUAA